UUCUGAACUGUCAUUUUCGAAGGUUGAGCGGACUGCAGAUACGCGUGUUUAAAGGGGUUCCACAGAUAUGCACAACUACAGCAUCCUGAGAUCAGUCCUGAUGGGUCUACUGAUCUUAGCUGACAUGUUCGGGUCUGGUCACAUGGACUGUGUCCUGUAAACCACAUGGCAUUCUGG
ensembl:lncRNA